rnacentral:rRNA from 1 species
GACGAACGCUGGCGGCGUGCUUAACACAUGCAAGUCGAACGGAAAGGCCCUGCUUUUGUGGGGUGCUCGAGUGGCGAACGGGUGAGUAACACGUGAGUAACCUGCCCUUGACUUUGGGAUAACUUCAGGACACUGGGGCUAAUACCGGAUAGGAGCUCCUGCUGCAUGGUGGGGGUUGGAAAGUUUCGGCGGUUGGGGAUGGACUCGCGGCUUAUCAGCUGGUUGGUGGGGUAGUGGCUUACCAAGGCUUUGACGGGUAGCCGGCCUGAGAGGGUGACCGGCCACAUUGGGACUGAGAUACGGCCCAGACUCCUACGGGAGGCAGCAGUGGGGAAUAUUGCACAAUGGGCGGAAGCCGGAUGCAGCAACGCCGCGUGCGGGAUGACGGCCUUCGGGUUGUAAACCGCUUUCGCCUGUGACGAAGCGUGAGUGACGGUAAUGGGUAAAGAAGCACCGGCUAACUACGUG